ACCCGAUAUGCCUCGGGGUGAAAUGUUUUUCGCCUAAAGAUGAGCUCGCGUCCGAUUAGCUAGUAGGUAGUGUAAUGGACUACCUAGGCGAUGAUCGGUAGCUGGUUUGAGAGGACAAUCAGCCACACUGGGACUGAGACACGGCCCAGACUCCUACGGGAGGCAGCAGUGGGGAAUUUUCCGCAAUGGGCGCAAGCCUGACGGAGCAAUACCGCGUGGGGGAGGAAGGUCUGUGGAUUGUAAACCCCUUUUCUCAGGGAAGAAGCUCUGACGGUACCUGAGGAAUCAGCAUCGGCUAACUCCGUGCCAGCAGCCGCGGUAAUACGGAGGAUGCAAGCGUUAUCCGGAAUUAUUGGGCGUAAAGCGUCCGCAGGCGGCUAGAUAAGUCUGCUUUCAAAGAGUGGGGCUCAACCCCAUAGGGGGAGUGGAAACUGUUUAGCUAGAGUAUGGUAGGGGCAGAGGGAAUUCCCAGUGUAGCGGUGAAAUGCGUAGAUAUUGGGAAGAACACCAGUGGCGAAGGCGCUCUGCUGGACCGAGACUGACGCUGAGGGACGAAAGCUAGGGGAGCGAAAGGGAUUAGAUACCCCUGUAGUCCUAGCUGUAAACGAUGGACACUAGGUGUUGCGCGUAUCGACCCGUGCAGUGCCGUAGCUAACGCGUUAAGUGUCCCGCCUGGGGAGUACGCACGCAAGUGUGAAACUCAAAGGAAUUGACGGGGGCCCGCACAAGCGGUGGAGUAUGUGGUUUAAUUCGAUGCAACGCGAAGAACCUUACCAGGGUUUGACAUCCCUCGAAUCUCUGCGAAAGUGGAGAGUGCCUUCGGGAGCGAGGAGACAGGUGGUGCAUGGCUGUCGUCAGCUCGUGUCGUGAGAUGUUGGGUUAAGUCCCGCAACGAGCGCAACCCACGUUUUCAGUUGCCAGCAUUAAGUUGGGGACUCUGGAGAGACUGCCGGUGACAAACCGGAGGAAGGUGUGGACGACGUCAAGUCAUCAUGCCCCUUACAUCCUGGGCUACACACGUACUACAAUGGUUAGGACAAAGGGCAGCGAAGCCGCGAGGUGGAGCAAAACUCAUAAACCUAGCCUCAGUUCAGAUUGCAGGCUGCAACUCGCCUGCAUGAAGGAGGAAUCGCUAGUAAUCGCAGGUCAGC
rnacentral:rRNA from 2 species